UAGUGCUGCAAUGUAAACAUUGUAGUUUCUAUCAAACUGCAAUGUUUUACAUUGCAGCACUA
rnacentral:miRNA from 1 species